rfam:Trichobilharzia regenti genome assembly, scaffold: TRE_scaffold0017152
GACGAGUCCCAAAUAGGACGAAAUGCGCAUC